AAGAUGUGGUUUAAGGAGGAAAAUUGUUCUCGGACAGCUAUGGAAAUAAUGGCUCUCUCUGCUGUUCCCUGAGUUGCUGGCUAAGGUCACAGGAAGCAGAGUGGCGCAGGGCUUGUAAAUUACCUGGACACCACGGACAGGCUGGAUCUAAGAGAAUGGUGCCAGAGCAACACUGUCCAGUAAUUCCCUAUCCAGAGCAUUCGCAGUUGGCUGGUUGUAUGGAAGAUGGGACGGUAUGAUUUCUGUAGCCGGCCUAGACUUCAAAACAAAACAGGAGAAGCCAUUUCAUCUGACCUGCUGUCCACUCCCUGCACAAGGACGCAUCCCAGGUCCCCAGUGUCCACCCAUGUGAACCUCGGCAGACUAAACAGCAUGGUCUUCAUAAGGUCAACCUAGUACUCUCCAAACAACAUCUAAGUGUUGGUCUUGACCUCAAAUGUGCCUUUAGAGUUACAGUCCAUCAGCAACGUGGGUAGCAGCCAUCAGCUAACUUGGGAGUCCCAGUCCCAAUUCCAAGGCACAGAUUAUCUUGAUUGAUUGACCCUGGGACCUCUUUGUCUCUCUGGGAUCACCCUCCAUCUGUUUCAGAAAAGGUGUCAGAGGCGAUCUUCUCCGGAGCAUUGAAAAGAUGACUGACAACUGGGACACAAUCCAUGACAAAUCAAAGAGUGCUCCGGAGUACAACAGCUGAGUCACGAGCCAGCCUGGGUGUCCGCCAUCGGAGGGCCAGGUGAGGGGGUUGUGGCACCAGGCAGCCUGCUGGCUGCAGUCUCACCAGGAAUGCCACUGUGGCAGGACUGUCCGCAUCUGGGAGCAGAACCCUGGGACGCUGGGUUCUACCUCCCAGUUCUUACAGGGAGGAUGGGAAAACAGGGUGUGUGUGGUGGGCUGGGGGACAUGCUCAGCCUGUAACACAUGGCUGAAAAUAAAAAACUAGUAAUAAUAAAUUAAAAGAAGGUACUGUUUGAGUGACAGUACUCAGUGAUGGGGGGAAGGAGGUGGCUACAUGGAGGGUCCAGAUCUGAAUAUCAAGGGGGUUCAGUACUGACCCAUGCCUGUAGCUGUGGGACCAGGACAAAGAUCUGGGCCAACUCCUCUCAGGUGACGGAGGAGCAGGGUAAACUCGGAGCUCUGUCCAGCAGCACCUACAGGCUGAUGAGCCCAACUGAAGGAGAAGCCUCUGGAGCCUGACAUCAGAGGGGGUUAGUUCUCCAUCACCAGCAUGAGUGUGAAUCACGCGGGCAGACUGGAACUCAUACCCAAACUUCAGAUGAGCCCAGGGCUGCCUCUGAGCCUAUGAACACUGAAAAACAACAAAACAAAACAAAAAGCAAAACUAAUGUCACAUCUGCAGCGUCAACUGACUCAGCAGAGGUGACACAGAGGCCUGAAGAGCUGGCUGGUGCCCACUCUGAGAAGGCACAGGACAGUCACCUUCGUUUCCUGGCAGCUGUGACUGGAGUUGUGUCCUCUAAGGGUUCAAAUGUCAGUGCUAGGCUAUGGUGGCCCCUUAAAAGGCAGGGGCUUGUGGGUGUAGUUAUAUCAUCAGGGACUCUGCUAUUGGGAGGGAUUGGUGUGGUUUUCCUGGUCCCACAGUUAGUUGUCA